rnacentral:rRNA from 1 species
GACAGAGGGGGCAAGCGUUGCUCGGAAUUACUGGGCGUAAAGAGCGUGUAGGCGGCCAGGUAGGUCUGCUGUGAAAACUCGAGGCUCAACCUCGAGACGUCGGCGGAAACCAUCUGGCUAGAGUCCGGAAGAGGAGAGUGGAAUUCCUGGUGUAGCGGUGAAAUGCGCAGAUAUCAGGAAGAACACCCGUGGCGAAGGCGGCUCUCUGGGACGGUACUGACGCUGAGACGCGAAAGCGUGGGGAGCGAACAGG